GAGGUCUAUGUCGAUUUAGGCGCUUGUGCCCUUGAGGCGUGGCUUCCGGAGCUAACGCGUUAAAUCGACCGCCUGGGGAGUACGGCCGCAAGGUUAAAACUCAAAUGAAUUGACGGGGGCCCGCACAAGCGGUGGAGCAUGUGGUUUAAUUCGAUGCAACGCGAAGAACCUUACCUGGUCUUGACAUCCACAGAACUUUCCAGAGAUGGUUUGGUGCCUUCGGGAACUGUGAGACAGGUGCUGCAUGGCUGUCGUCAGCUCGUGUUGUGAAAUGUUGGGUUAAGCCCCGCAACGAAAUUG
rnacentral:rRNA from 1 species